rnacentral:rRNA from 1 species
GUAGUAACAAGGUCUCCGUAGGUGAACCUGCGGAGGGAUCAUUACACAAAUAUGAAGGCGGGCUGGAACCUCUCGGGGUUACAGCCUUGCUGAAUUAUUCACCCUUGUCUUUUGCGUACUUCUUGUUUCCUUGGUGGGUUCGCCCACCACUAGGACAAACAUAAACCUUUUGUAAUUGCAAUCAGCGUCAGUAACAAAUUAAUAAUUACAACUUUCAACAACGGAUCUCUUGGUUCUGGCAUCGAUGAAGAACGCAGCGAAAUGCGAUAAGUAGUGUGAAUUGCAGAAUUCAGUGAAUCAUCGAAUCUUUGAACGCACAUUGCGCCCUUUGGUAUUCCAAAGGGCAUGCCUGUUCGAGCGUCAUUUGUACCCUCAAGCUUUGCUUGGUGUUGGGCGUCUUGUCUCUAGCUUUGCUGGAGACUCGCCUUAAAGUAAUUGGCAGCCGGCCUACUGGUUUCGGAGCGCAGCACAAGUCGCACUCUCUAUCAGCAAAGGUCUAGCAUCCAUUAAGCCUUUUUUUCAACUUUUGACCUCGGAUCAGGUAGGGAUACCCGCUGAACUUAAGCAUAUCAAUAA